AAGUCGUAACAAGGUUUCCGUAGGUGAACCUGCGGAAGGAUCAUUAACACGUAUCCAACGUUAAACAACCCUGUGAACUUUAAGUCCCCUCUUGCAGCCCAUGAGGAACAGCAAUCCCGGUAAAUCAUUGCCAAACAGUUUUGAUUCGGGACCUCUGUCCAAAAGGAGUUGCAAUCGAAGGGUGGAAGCAGUGGCAUGGCUUCCCCAAGCAGUUAGUGAAUGACAGUGUCACUGACUGUGUAAGGAUAACGCCUCACGACAUGUCACAGGGUCACCACGCCCCUUAAUCACUCCACUUGAAAAUGCCCCGCCUAGUGGUAACGCGCUAGGUAAAAAAAACCGAACAACUGUUAACAAUGGAUAUCUUGGUUCUC
rnacentral:misc_RNA from 1 species